UAUAAACUCGAGAUGGUUGAUCUGCUAUGUGAUCAUUAGCCGAUCAAGUGAUAUGUCCACUUCCAUUCCUAUCUUGUUUAGUUCCUUUUUCAAGUUCAGCAGCCAGCCCUACCUA